GGCGAACGGGUGAGUAACACGUGAGUAACCUGCCCUUAACUCUGGGAUAAGCCUUGGAAACGGGGUCUAAUACUGGAUAUUGACUUUACCUCGCAUGGGGUUUUGUUGAAAGAUUUAUUGGUUUUGGAUGGACUCGCGGCCUAUCAGCUUGUUGGUGAGGUAAUGGCUCACCAAGGCGACGACGGGUAGCCGGCCUGAGAGGGUGACCGGCCACACUGGGACUGAGACACGGCCCAGACUCCUACGGGAGGCAGCAGUGGGGAAUAUUGCACAAUGGGCGAAAGCCUGAUGCAGCGACGCCGCGUGAGGGAUGACGGCCUUCGGGUUGUAAACCUCUUUCAGUAGGGAACAAGGCCAGCAUUUUUGUUGGUUGAGGGUACUUGCAGAAGAAGCGCCGGCUAACUACGUGCCAGCAGCCGCGGUAAUACGUAGGGCGCAAGCGUUAUCCGGGAAUUAUUGGGCGUAAAGAGCUCGUAGGCGGUUUGUCGCGUCUGCCGUGAAAGUCCGGGGCUCAACUCCGGAUCUGCGGUGGGUACGGGCAGACUAGAGUGAUGUAGGGGAGACUGGAAUUCCUGGUGUAGCGGUGAAAUGCGCAGAUAUCAGGAGGAACACCGAUGGCGAAGGCAGGUCUCUGGGCAUUAACUGACGCUGAGGAGCGAAAGCAUGGGGAGCGAACAGGAUUAGAUACCCUGGUAGUCCAUGCCGUAAACGUUGGGCACUAGGUGUGGGGGACAUUCCACGUUUUCCGCGCCGUAGCUAACGCAUUAAGUGCCCCGCCUGGGGAGUACGGCCGCAAGGCUAAAACUCAAAGGAAUUGACGGGGGCCCGCACAAGCGGCGGAGCAUGCGGAUUAAUUCGAUGCAACGCGAAGAACCUUACCAAGGCUUGACAUGAACUGGAAAUACCUGGAAACAGGUGCCCCGCUUGCGGUCGGUUUACAGGUGGUGCAUGGUUGUCGUCAGCUCGUGUCGUGAGAUGUUGGGUUAAGUCCCGCAACGAGCGCAACCCUCGUUCUAUGUUGCCAGCACGUAAUGGUGGGGACUCAUAGGAGACUGCCGGGGUCAACUCGGAGGAAGGUGAGGACGACGUCAAAUCAUCAUGCCCCUUAUGUCUUGGGCUUCACGCAUGCUACAAUGGCCGGUACAAUGGGUUGCGAUACUGUGAGGUGGAGCUAAUCCCAAAAAGCCGGUCUCAGUUCGGAUUGGGGUCUGCAACUCGACCCCAUGAAGUCGGAGUCGCUAGUAAUCGCAGAUCAGCAACGCUGCGGUGAAUACGUUCCCGGGCCUUGUACACACCGCCCGUCAAGUCACGAAAGUUGGUAACACCCGAAGCCGGUGGCCUAACCCCCUUGUGGGGAGGGAGCUGUCGAAGUGGACG
rnacentral:rRNA from 1 species